UUUUUUUUUUAGUUUUUUUUAAUGGUCGAGAUAGAUGACUCCAUUGCUUCUCAGAUUCCUUUUAUUUUCACAAAAACCCUAGACCCACAGACAACUCCCGCCAACGAGUGAGGGUUUUGCUUCACUAUUUCCAGCGAAUCAGCGAUGGCCGAAGUGGAAACAGAUGUGGAUCCAGGGCAGCCGAACUCGCAGAAGGAAGAUUUCAACGCGGAUCGAACCAGAAACCAAUGGCGUUGAUCAAGAAUAUAAAUGGUGGAAUAGUAUGCAAAGCUAUCAGUUUCUGAAUUAGCUUCAUCUUUUAGAUUUAACAUUGUGUUAUUUCAACAAGUUUGUUUGGUUGGAUUCAUUAUCUGUGUCUAAUGUUCAAAAUUAUAAGUGCCUUUGUAAACUUUUCUUUAGAGUUUAUUCUGUUGUUUCUUGUGCGACAUCUGCUUGCCCCUUGCUGAUUGUAUAGCCGUUGGCUAAAUUACGGCAGUCGUGUGAUAACAGUAGGGUGGGGAUCUCAACUUCUUGAUAUGAAAAUUUAAACAUCCUUAGCUUACGCCUGAGGGGUUUUCUGAAGACCCUUGGUUUUGUUUUCUUGUUAACUGCCGCGCUAGGACACUGCGACUGAUUUUCAAAAAGCAUACCGAUUCACUGUAAGAGGCUAAUGUGAGUUGCACAAGAGGUAGACAUAAUAAGGAAAGUAGAAAGCUGCACUUGGAAACUGGUUCUAAAUGAAUGAAUAUUGUAGUUUGGCAAAUCAUCACAGGUUCUUCUUCUCAAAGGCAUUGAUUUUCUAAUCUGGUUAACAGGGGACAAUGUUCUUUAUCUGCCUUGUUAUCGUCAGUGAUUAUGCUACUUGUUAUUCUAAGAAUAUGAUAGAUAUGGCAUGAGUGGUCCUCGAAUAACAUAAACCUGUGUGGUGAGUGGAUGCUGGAACUUCAUAAAGAGUAUAGAUGAACUCAAUUUACUUUGCAUUGCCACCAUUUUUGUUUCUUGUAAGUUGAACUUCAUGUAGUUUGCAUUGCUACCAAUACUAUAGAAAGUUGUGUUGUAAGCUGAAAUAGUACGAGAUUAUUUUGGAAACGUGUGAUCGUGAUGAACUAAAAAGGUUAUUAUGUUUUUUCUUUGUCAAUUUCUAUGCUCGAAACAGAAGCAAGAGGCACAACCUGGUGAGAAGCCAGAGAGCUAGUUUGGACUCUCCUGCGCAACAUGAUCAUUGUACCGGAGAUGAUUUGUAGCAUCAUUACAAUGGCAAAACCUUCAAUCAAGUUAAAACCAAGCCUGAAAUGAUUGGCCACUAUCUCGCUGAGUUCUCAAUCAGUUACAAGCCUGUCAAGCAUGGAAGCUCCCCUGGUAUUGGUGCUACUCAUUCCUCCAGGUUCACUCCUCUCAAGUAACAAUAUUUUACACAUUUCUUCACUCUACACUUAAUAGCAGUCGUAUGGUUAUAUUUUAUGAAAUCUGCUCAAUUAUUGCUUAAAUAAUGUAAGCCUGUGUGAUCACAUCUCAACUGCACAGAUUAUAAUCAAUGAAAUGGAAAAUGAGCUUAUAUUAUG